GAGUUUGAUCCUGGCUCAGGACGAACGCUGGCGGCGUGCCUAACACAUGCAAGUCGAGCGGAGGUAGUUUGAUGGUAACUGAUAGCUACUUUAGCGGCGGACGGGUGAGUAACACGUGGGCAACCUGCCUCGAAGUGGGGGAUAACACCGAGAAAUCGGUGCUAAUACCGCAUAACAUACAUUGGCUGCAUGGUCGAUGUAUCAAAGGAGUAAUCCGCUUUGAGAUGGGCCCGCGGCUGAUUAGCUAGUUGGUGAGGUAAUGGCUCACCAAGGCGACGAUCAGUAGCCGACCUGAGAGGGUGACCGGCCACACUGGAACUGAGACACGGUCCAGACUCCUACGGGAGGCAGCAGUGGGGAGUAUUGCGCAAUGGGGGAAACCCUGACGCAGCAACGCCGCGUGGAGGAAGAAGGUCUUCGGAUUGUAAACUCCUGUCUUCUGGGACGAUAAUGACGGUACCAGAGGAGGAAGCCACGGCUAACUACGUGCCAGCAGCCGCGGUAAUACGUAGGGUGCGAGCGUUAAUCGGAAUUACUGGGCGUAAAGCGUGCGCAGGCGGUUUUGUAAGUCAGAUGUGAAAUCCCCGAGCUCAACUUGGGAACUGCGUUUGAAACUACAAGACUAGAAUAUGUCAGAGGGGGGUAGAAUUCCACGUGUAGCAGUGAAAUGCGUAGAGAUGUGGGGGAAUACCAAUGGCGAAGGCAGCCCCCUGGGAUAAUAUUGACGCUCAUGCACGAAAGCGUGGGGAGCAAACAGGGAUUAGAUACCCUGGUAGUCCACGCCCUAAACGAUGUCUACUAGUUGUUGGUGGAGUAAAAUCCAUGAGUAACGCAGCUAACGCGUGAAGUAGACCGCUGGGGAGUACGGUCGCAAGAUUUAAACUCAAAUGAAUUGACGGGGGCCCGCACAAGCGGUGGAGCAUGCCGGGUUAAUAGGAUGAUACGCCAAAGAACCUUACCAGGGCUUGACAUGACUCGGACAGCCUGUGAAAGCAGGUCUUCUUGGCCAUCAGGUCGAGCCACAGAUGGUGCAUGGGUGUCGUCAGCUCCUGGCCGUGAGGUGUUGGGGUUAAGUUCCCGCAACGAGCGCAAACCUUAUUGCCUAGUUGCCAUUCAUUAGUUGGGCACUUCUAUUGAGACUGUGCCGGAGAACAUUCGAGUAAGGUGGGGGAUUGACCUCAGUUCUCAUGCCCUUUAUGGCCAGGCUCCCACGCGUUAUAUACACAUGUGGUUCGGCUUACACGAGAGGGGGGUUGUGC
rnacentral:rRNA from 1 species